rnacentral:rRNA from 1 species
CAGUCGCCGCGGGAAUACGAAGGGUGCAAGCGUUAAUCGGAAUUACUGGGCGUAAAGCGUGCGUAGGCGGUUUGUUAAGUCUGUUGUGAAAUCCCCGGGCUCAACCUGGGAAUGGCAAUGGAUACUGGCAAGCUAGAGUGUGUCAGAGGAUGGUGGAAUUCCCGGUGUAGCGGUGAAAUGCGUAGAGAUCGGGAGGAACAUCAGUGGCGAAGGCGGCCAUCUGGGACAACACUGACGCUGAGGCACGAAAGCGUGGGGAGCAGACAGGAUUAGAUACCCCCGUAGUCCCUGUCUCUUAUAC